rnacentral:rRNA from 1 species
AGCGAACGCUGGCGGCAGGCCUAACACAUGCAAGUCGAAGGAACCCUUCGGGGUUAGUGGCGGACGGGUGAGUAACACGUGGGAACGUGCCUUUAGGUUCGGAAUAACUCAGGGAAACUUGUGCUAAUACCGAAUGUGCCCUUCGGGGGAAAGAUUUAUCGCCGUUAGAGCGGCCCGCGUCUGAUUAGCUAGUUGGUGAGGUAAUGGCUCACAAAGGCUACGCUCAGUAGCUGGUCUGAGUGGAUGACCAGCCAAAUUGGGGCUGCGACACGGCCCAAACUACUACGGGAGGCAGCAGUGGGGAAUCUUGCGCAAUUGGCGAAAGCCUGACGCAGCCAUGCCGCGUGGAUGAUGAAGGUCUUAGGAUUGUAAAAUCCUUUCACCAGUGAAGAUAAUGACUGUAGCCGGAGAAGAAGCCCCGGCUAACUUCGUGCCAGCCGCCGCUGUAAGAC